GUAGGUGGCAAGCGUUGUCCGGAAUUAUUGGGCGUAAAGCGCGCGCAGGUGGUUCUUUAAGUCUGAUGUGAAAGCCCCCGGCUCAACCGGGGAGGGUCAUUGGAAACUGGGGAACUUGAGUGCAGGAGAGGAAAGUGGAAUUCCACGUGUAGUGGUGAAAUGCGUAGAUAUGUGGAGGAACACCAGUGGCGAAGGCGACUUUCUGGCCUGUAACUGACACUGAGGCGCGAAAGCGUGGGGAGCAAACAGGGAUUAGAUACCCUGGUAGUCCACGCCGUAAACGAUGAGUGCUAAGUGUUGGGGGGGUUUCCGCCCCCUCAGUGCUGCAGCUAACGCAUUAAGCACUCCGCCUGGGAGUACGGUCGCAAGACUG
rnacentral:rRNA from 1 species